rnacentral:rRNA from 1 species
UGAUCAUGGCUCAGGACGAACGCUGGCGGCGUGCCUAAUACAUGCAAGUCGAACGAACUCUGGUAUUGAUUGGUGCUUGCAUCAUGAUUUACAUUUGAGUGAGUGGCGAACUGGUGAGUAACACGUGGGAAACCUGCCCAGAAGCGGGGGAUAACACCUGGAAACAGAUGCUAAUACCGCAUAACAACUUGGACCGCAUGGUCCGAGCUUGAAAGAUGGCUUCGGCUAUCACUUUUGGAUGGUCCCGCGGCGUAUUAGCUAGAUGGUGGGGUAACGGCUCACCAUGGCAAUGAUACGUAGCCGACCUGAGAGGGUAAUCGGCCACAUUGGGACUGAGACACGGCCCAAACUCCUACGGGAGGCAGCAGUAGGGAAUCUUCCACAAUGGACGAAAGUCUGAUGGAGCAACGCCGCGUGAGUGAAGAAGGGUUUCGGCUCGUAAAACUCUGUUGUUAAAGAAGAACAUAUCUGAGAGUAACUGUUCAGGUAUUGACGGUAUUUAACCAGAAAGCCACGGCUAACUACGUGCCAGCAGCCGCGGUAAUACGUAGGUGGCAAGCGUUGUCCGGAUUUAUUGGGCGUAAAGCGAGCGCAGGCGGUUUUUUAAGUCUGAUGUGAAAGCCUUCGGCUCAACCGAAGAAGUGCAUCGGAAACUGGGAAACUUGAGUGCAGAAGAGGACAGUGGAACUCCAUGUGUAGCGGUGAAAUGCGUAGAUAUAUGGAAGAACACCAGUGGCGAAGGCGGCUGUCUGGUCUGUAACUGACGCUGAGGCUCGAAAGUAUGGGUAGCAAACAGGAUUAGAUACCCUGGUAGUCCAUACCGUAAACGAUGAAUGCUAAGUGUUGGAGGGUUUCCGCCCUUCAGUGCUGCAGCUAACGCAUUAAGCAUUCCGCCUGGGGAGUACGGCCGCAAGGCUGAAACUCAAAGGAAUUGACGGGGGCCCGCACAAGCGGUGGAGCAUGUGGUUUAAUUCGAAGCUACGCGAAGAACCUUACCAGGUCUUGACAUACUAUGCAAAUCUAAGAGAUUAGACGUUCCCUUCGGGGACAUGGAUACAGGUGGUGCAUGGUUGUCGUCAGCUCGUGUCGUGAGAUGUUGGGUUAAGUCCCGCAACGAGCGCAACCCUUAUUAUCAGUUGCCAGCAUUAAGUUGGGCACUCUGGUGAGACUGCCGGUGACAAACCGGAGGAAGGUGGGGAUGACGUCAAAUCAUCAUGCCCCUUAUGACCUGGGCUACACACGUGCUACAAUGGAUGGUACAACGAGUUGCGAACUCGCGAGAGUAAGCUAAUCUCUUAAAGCCAUUCUCAGUUCGGAUUGUAGGCUGCAACUCGCCUACAUGAAGUCGGAAUCGCUAGUAAUCGCGGAUCAGCAUGCCGCGGUGAAUACGUUCCCGGGCCUUGUACACACCGCCCGUCACACCAUGAGAGUUUGUAACACCCAAAGUCGGUGGGGUAACCUUUUAGGAACCAGCCGCCUAAGGUGGGACAGAUGAUUAGGGUGAAGUCGUAACAAGGUAGCCGUAGGAGAACCUGCGGUUGGAUCACCUCCUU